CAUGCUGCAUGGGAAGAAUUGGAGGAAAUUAUGCUAAGCGAAGUAAGACAAGCACAAACGGACAAGUAUAGCAGGAGUCCGCUGAGGUGGUCGCUCCAGAUGACACGUCCAAAGUACUUCAGAUGAAGUCUUUAGAGAUACCAGACACAGACUUCAAACUACGUUCAUGAUAACUGGAGCAGAGCGCCAACAACGUGAAACUGAGAACUCAACAAUCCACAUCAGAUUUAGGCCCAGCGGCUUCCUGGUCUGAGUCUGCUUCCACACGGCUCUGAGCGAUUUCACGUGGACUUCCCGCCGCUCCCUGGGAAAAGCAGGGGCUGCUAGAAGCUGCCAAGGAGGAGAAAUGGUGGGCGGGUAGUGUGGGCGCCACUCCCUGUGGAUAGUGAGAUGCCGGGCUAAGAUAUGCUGAGGCUCCCUGGAAGUGGUGGGGCCUGUGCCCCAGUUGUCAGUGCAGAAGUGACUGUGUGGGGGUGGAGGUGACCCAAGCACUGGUGCUGGGUGCACCUAGCCGCAGGCACACAGACCAGCUGCAGGUUCGGCCCUGGGGCCCUGGGCAGCUGCCUGGAGGGACCAGAGCUUGCAGGCGGAAUCGUUACUAGCCCCGUGGAGAGAGGGGAACUGUGGGAGACAGGCGCAUCGCCCCCAGGUGGGAGCCACGAGUGGACAGCUGCUAUGUGGUGGUCAGGCCCGGCCUUGGGGAGCUCUACACAAUAACUGUCCUGGGGCAGCGACCAGGCCAGGGGUUGAGUGGGGGGAGGCACUGGCUGAUGGCAGGGAGCACAAGAGUCACACCGCCGGUGGGAAAUCCCUGAUAUAUGGACCCAGCUUUCUGGGGCUUGAAAUAAAGCAGAUGCCGGACAAGGCACCCUCCUGGACACUUCCACUUGACCUCCCCGGCCCCAGACUCAACGGAGCUCCCCGUAUUGUCUGCUUACCUUGGUGACAUCUUGACCGGAACCCUCUCUGAAGUGUUUUUUAAGAUGUACAAAUAAAGGUGAUGGUAAAGU